UAAUAUAUCGGAACGUGCCUUAGAGUGGGGGAUAACGUAGCGAAAGUUACGCUAAUACCGCAUACGAUCUACGGAUGAAAGUGGGGGAUCGCAAGACCUCAUGCUCCUAGAGCGGCCGAUAUCUGAUUAGCUAGUUGGUGGGGUAAAGGCCUACCAAGGCGACGAUCAGUAGCUGGUCUGAGAGGACGACCAGCCACACUGGGACUGAGACACGGCCCAG
rnacentral:rRNA from 1 species